rnacentral:tRNA from 1 species
CCGGGUGUGGCCCAGUUGGUAGGGCGCCUGUUUUGGGAACAGGGGGCCGGGAGUUCGAGUCUCUCCACUCGGACCA